CGUCUCGUUGUUGUCAGGCCCCCUGAGUGAAAUGACUUCUGCAGUGCAGGGGUUAGACUGAGCCCUCUUAAAGCAGAUUGGGAAUGUCAAUCCUGGGAACAAGUCAGGCAACCUCAAACAGCCUCAGAAGAGACAUAGUUCCAUUCCAUCAAACCAGACCCCUUUAUGGUACCUUGCACUCGGAGUCCAGGGUUUCCUGCAUUUAUCACAACAAGUGCAGUCAUAUCUGCAACCACAAGGCAGGCAAAGCUGGAAGCAACUUCCUUUUCAUGUGGGAAGCAAAUCUCCACUAAUGCACUACAGCCUUCUGUCCCUCCAGCCUGGAAACCAGAACAUCAGGAGCAGGAAGCACAGCAGGCAGAACCUUCCUUCAGCCCCUGGACUGAAUCCAAAGCCACCUCUGCACGUGGUCUAUGGCACAGCUCCAGCAGCAGGACCUCCUGUGCUGAGGGACCACAGCCCCACACCACCACUGCCCAGCUCCAGGGGACUCUGGCUCACCUCUCCUGACCCAGAGGCUUCUCAUUUGCAGGGUCCCAGCCAGAGCUGGGCACUUCGUGAUGUUUGUUCCAGCCCACCUUGAGUGGAGGUGUCAGAUCCCCCAGGGCAGCUCCAUCACCCCAAGCUCUGUGGGAGCAAUCCCUGAGUGCUUUUAACAGCAGCUUUCCUACACAGUAGGAAAAGUUUCCCACUUCAGUAACCAAGUCAUUUCUCCCUGAAGUUUUGGAUGAAAAAUAAGAUGUAAAACCAAAUUA